ACUCAAAGGCAGCCAAAUGUAUUUGGCAUAUGGAACAAUGACGGUUCAUCGACAUAAUUGUUAUAUGAUUAGUUUGGCAUUCAAAUUAUUAAUAUUAUAAUAGGUUUUUUCUGGUUUAUUGCUUCUUGGUAGGAGUUCAAAUCCAACGGCGGCAUGUUGAAGGUUUCAUCGAUGUAACGUACGUGUAGUGGCCCCCCAAGUGUGAUGAAAGAGUUAUUAUUGCUAACCGAGAAGGGGAGAUGCUACAGAUGCCAACGUGCUACUGUAUAACAGUACGGUUUAAGGCUUCUGUCAAAAACGUUCGUACAAGUGCGGCAAGAAAACAAGAUUUAUAAAACAUUAUUUCUAUCUACUGCUACUACUAUAUUAUAUAAUACUCGCUGCAGAUCCGCUGUGCGUUCGACCAGUUCGCGGACGACUACAUCUCGGUUGGCAGCCCGCAAGAACGUUUCGGCGAUUCACUAUUGUACCACAUUGGCAUAUUGUGUUCUAAAUAUAUAUAUAUAUAUAUUCAUAUACGGAUCAUAUGUUUGUGUACACAUAAAAUAUUAUAUUGUUUUUUUUUUCUAAAUCUUUUUUUCCGAAAAUAAAACCACACACAUUUCGUUUGUAUUA